GAUGAAGAACGUAGCAAAAUGCGAUAAGUAGUGUGAAUUGCAGAAUUCAGUGAAUCAUCGAAUCUUUGAACGCACAUUGCGCCCAUUAGCAUUCUAGUGGGCAUGCCUGUUCGAGCGUCAUUUCAACCCUUAAGCCCUGUUGCUUAGCGUUGGGAGCCUACAGUACUGUAGCUCCCCAAAGUUAAUGGCGGAGUCGGUUUCACACUCUAGACGUAGUAAAUUUUUCUCGUCUGUAGUUGAGCCGGUCCCCUGCCGUAAAACACCCAAUUUAUCAAGGUUGACCUCGGAUCAGGUAGGAAUACCCGCUGAACUUAAGCAUAUCAAUAAGCGGAGGA
rnacentral:misc_RNA from 1 species